UUUGUUCAAAUGUGUUUCAAAGUGUUCAGAGGAAAGGGUUUGUCCUCUUGUACAGCCAUUCUGGAACAGUAUGUGGGUUCCUCAAAAAAUUACAAAGAGAACUGCCAUAUGAUCCUAGUCUUCCUUUAACAGAAUGUAAACCAAGAGUGUCUGGUGGGCUCCAGAACUAACUGGCAAGGCCAAGAGGCAAAGCUUUGCCUGCAGGUGCCUUUCAGUGCAGGAUUGUG
rnacentral:lncRNA from 1 species